GACGAACGCUGGCGGCGUGCUUAACACAUGCAAGUCGAACGGAAAGGCCCUGCUUUUGUGGGGUGCUCGAGUGGCGAACGGGUGGGUAACACGUGAGUAACCUGCCCUUGACUUUGGGAUAACUUCAGGAAACUGGGGCUAAUACCGGAUAGGAGCUCCUGCUGCAUGGUGGGGGUUGGAAAGUUUCGGCGGUUGGGGAUGGACUCGCGGCUUAUCAGCUUGUUGGUGGGGUAGUGGCUUACCAAGGCUUUGACGGGUAGCCGGCCUGAGAGGGUGACCGGCCACAUUGGGACUGAGAUACGGCCCAGACUCCUACGGGAGGCAGCAGUGGGGAAUAUUGCACAAUGGGCGGAAGCCUGAUGCAGCAACGCCGCGUGCGGGAUGACGGCCCUCGGGUUGUAAACCGCUUUCGCCUGUGACGAAGCGUGAGUGACGGUAAUGGGUAAAGAAGCACCGGCUAACUACGUG
rnacentral:rRNA from 1 species